CUCAAAUAUCCUAUAUGAAACUUUUUUUCCUUUCAAAAUAGGGAAAAAAAAUCUAAUUUAUAACUUUGUGUGUAUAUCAACAAUAGUUUAUCAAAUGUUUUCUAAAGAAAUCCCAGGCAAGACUAUAUAAAUGCUUUAAGAAAAAACACAAACUAACAACAAUUUUUAAAUCUUAGAACUUUGUGCUUGAAAUAAUAUCUAACUCAAAUAUUCUAUAUGCAACUUUUUUUUUCUUCAAAAAUCAGGGACGCAGAUGUGGUGGUGCUGAUGACACUUCUUCUGGUGAAACUCUGGAUCCACAGACAGGAAGGACCUAGAACAACAAUCACACUUUUGCAAAAUUAGGGAUUUUUCAAAGCAGUGUUUGUAUUAAAUGUAUGGCUUUUUUCAAAAGAUGGUUUCUCAAAGAUUGUCUCAAAAGAUAGGUUUGAUAAAGAUUGUCUCAAAAGAUAGGUUUGAUAACAAAGAUUGUCUCAAAAGAUAGGUUUGAUAACAAACGUUCUCAAGUUGAUUUGAUAACAAACGUUCUCAAGUGAUUGGUAACACACGUUCUCAAGUGACUGGUAACACACGUUCUCAAGUGACUGGUAACACACGUUUCUGAGUGAUUGGUAACACAGGUUUGAAUGAUUGGUAACACACGUUUGAAUGAUUGUUUUAGUAGUCAGAGUGGGAUAGAAGGGGGAUAGAAAGACAGAUCGCUUUUCAAUCAGACAGAGCGGUAGAGGAGACAGGAAAGACAGAGCGGCCAAAACUUAGCUAGAGGGAUAGAGAAAAGGGGGACACAAGAUAGAGGGCUUUUCAAUCAGACAGAGCGGUAGAGGAGACAGGAAAGACAGAGCGGCCAAAAUGAUAGGGGAGAGUGGGGAGACUGGACAGGAUAC